UACGGAGGGAGCUAGCGUUGUUCGGAAUUACUGGGCGUAAAGCGCGCGUAGGCGGCUUUGUAAGUUAGAGGUGAAAGCCUGGAGCUCAACUUCAGAAUUGCCUUUAAGACUGCAUCGCUCGAAUUGUGGAGAGGUAAGUGGAAUUCCGAGUGUAGAGGUGAAAUUCGUAGAUAUUCGGAAGAACACCAGUGGCGAAGGCGACUUACUGGACACAUAUUGACGCUGAGGUGCGAAAGCGUGGGGAGCAAACAGGG
rnacentral:rRNA from 1 species